rnacentral:lncRNA from 10 species
UGGCAACUUGUUACCUGCCUCAGCCUUAAAAUGAACUUGAUUACAUGGCCAUAAGUUAAAAAGCUUUACACACUAGCCAAGGUAAACAGUGAGGGACAAGAAGGUAAAACAAAACGUUAUAGAAGUAUGUAGGCUUCAUUAAACAGCACAAAACUCUGAGUUUCAGUACGAUGGAAGCAGAAAUUUCAUGAGUCACUCUCUCAAAGAAAUAACAGCAAAAUAAUGGAACUGAAGCCCCCAGAUCUGAAUAUCUGCUUGUUCUGACAAGGAUUCUCAAGAGGACUCCACUUAAUUCAAAGGUACAGGCUAAAAUGAUGAUAUUCCAGGCAUGCUUCAUGACAGUAAAGCAGGGUGAAUAUUUGGGGGCAGAGGUAUGGCUUUCAGUGUCCUGUAGGCCCCAUCAUGCAUGUGGCAUUCCAGGUUUUUUUGUUGUUGUUUUACUGGUAUCACUGAUAUGGAUAGAGACAGGGAAAUACUGGGUAGAAGAGGGCAGUUCUCUGACAAAGGCCCCACCCUCAAGCCUGGAGACCCACAGCCCUAAAUGGAGAUAGGCAUUCCUGUUUUUGUGCCCAAAAAGUUGUCUGUUGGCCCACCACGCCCCGCUAUCCUGUACCCAUAUAAACCCCAAACCCCAGGCUUCAGAAGCAAAGGAGGAGAAGAGGAGGCAAGCAGAUGAACAGUGCAGCAGAGAAAAAGAGAAGAGAAGGAAUGUCUGAACGACAAGAGGAAUUCAGCUGGGGGGCAGUCAGAGAGGAAUUCAGCUGCUGGACAGCCAAACUCCAGGGGAAGAUCACCUUCCCACUCCAUCCACCUUUCAGCUCCCCAUCCAUCCCACUGAGAGCCACCUCCACCACUCAAUAAAACCCCUACAUUCAUCCUUCAAGUUCAUGUGUGGUCUGAUUCUUCUGGGAUGCUGGACAAGAGCUCGGGAUAUAGAAAGCCAUCACACAGGUCCUCUGCCUUUGCAGAAGGGCAGUGGGGGCACUGAGCUGG